GUGUGUGUGUGUGUUUGUGGUAGGAUGCCUCCCUCUCAUGUUUGUGGGGGAAAUAUUUUGCUGUUACUUUUUUGUUUUUACUCUGCCAUUUCAUGAGUACUUUUGUUUUGAACUGAUCAUAUAUUCUGGCAGACUAAGAUAACUAUAUUGGUGGAGCUUGUGAGUUUGAGGGAGCACAAAACCACAGAAUACCUUGAGCCUGGGGGUACUGCCCUCUGGGGAACUUCAUCUAGAAGUUGAGGAGUGGGGCUGGUACCAGGUCCUACGAUAGGAUCAUCCCAUUCUUUAUUGGCAGAGAACCCAGAAGUCAUCUUGUUGAAUCUACUCAUUUUAUAGAGGAGGCAACUAAAGCUUUCCAUUUGAUAGUAUAUAUGCACACACACACACACACACACACGUAUUUUUUAAGUCAUUCACACAGUAAAGAGCACACAUUCAUAUUUCAAAUUCUUCCCCUCCAGGAAUCAGCAUGGUUAUAUUAUUUCUAUAUUGCAAAUCUGAUCAAGGUUGCUGAGCCUCCUUCCUUCAGGUGCCGAGUGGCUCCAUGGUGGUUCUGA
rnacentral:lncRNA from 1 species